rnacentral:rRNA from 1 species
ACGUAGGGUCCAAGCGUUAUCCGGAAUCACUGGGCGUAAAGCGUUCGUAGGCGGUUUUUCAAGUUGGGUGUGAAAUCCUAUGGCUCAACCAUAUGGACUGUGCCCAAAACUGAAAGACUAGAGCAUAGUAGAGGCAAGUGGAACUUGCGGUGUAGGAGUGACAUCCGUAGAUAUCGCAAAGAACACCAAUGGCGAAGGCAGCUUGCUGGGCUAUUGCUGACGCUCAGGAACGAAAGCGUGGGGAGCGAACGGGAUUAGAUACCCCGGUAGUCCACGCCGUAAACGAUGAUCACUAACAGUAUGGAGAUUCGACCCUCUGUGUUGUAAAGCUAACGCGUUAAGUGAUCCGCCUGGGGAGUACGGGCGCAAGCUUA